ensembl:lncRNA
CCCAGGUUCUAUCCCUGGGUCAGAAAGACCCCCUGGAGAAGGGAGUGGCAACCCACUCUAGUAUUCUUGCCUGGAGAAUUCCAUGGACAGAGGAGCCUAGCGGGCUACAGACCAUGGGUUUCAAAGAGUCGGACACAACUGAGUGACUAAUACUUUACCAUGGAAAUCCAGUAAAUAUUAUGGUUUGUUAUGGCAAGACAACAGGAGAGAGCCUGAGAUAAGUGGUGUGGUGGGGGAGGCGGCGGGAAGGGCUUAGGAGUGGAGAGAUGGAGAAGUAGAAAUUAGCUCGAAACACAGGCUGAGAGACAGAGUGGGCUGAAGCAGUCAGGACUGAAUUAGGAAAGCUCGAGGUCUGCUGCUUUCAAACUAGUCCUAAUUACAUUAUUUGAGUGUAUGUAAUGGGUCUGGUGCCUUUUCUCCAAAUGAUGUUGACACAUGUCUGCUCAAAUAAAUUAAAGCUCCCAUCACUAUGGACUCAUCUGGUUGGGAAUGACAAGAACACAUGCUGACUGGAAUAGAGACGAGGGGAAAGCACAGCAGCGGGAGAAAGAAAGGCAGAGACGUUAUAAGAUUGAUUAGACCUUCCCUUUGCCACAGAAUAACAUCCAAACUGCCAGCUAUGUGCCUUGCCGGCUCUGCUUCCAUCUCUGUCUUCCCACUGCAAUCUGAGCCAGUCAUAUUGUUUCCUAGUGAUUUAAUUUCAUUUUAUUUCUUGCCUUUGCGCAUCCUGUCUUCUCUGCUGGAAAGGUCUUGACUCCCUGACCUAUGCAGUGAACACCUAUUCUUUCUGCAAAACAUGAAUCAAAAUGAAUACAUGCCCCCACUACAAUGUAAACUCUGAUAGGGCACAGCCCGUACUAUCUUGUCCAUGACUAUAUAGCCAAUGGCUAGAGCAGUGUCUGGCACUUAGCUGGCAUUUAGUCAAUGUUAGAUGGAUAAAUUGAUGGACGGAUGGGAGGAUGGAUGGAUAGAUGGAUGGAUGUGUGGGUGAGUCGAUGGAUGGACUACUCAUAAGGCUUUGCUUUCAUCCCUGCAAAUCUCUUGGUAAAUCUUUCCUUUCCUGUUGUCCUUUUAGCAUAUAUCUUUAUUAGGUGUUAUUCCCCAGAGACUGAAGUUUCCUAAGGGAAGGUAUCACGCAACAAUAGAGGCAGAGAGUAAUGUGGGUGAAGGGAGGAAGAGGUCUGCUAUUUAUAACCACAGAUUUCCGUUUACCAAGGCUGGAUUCUGCAGAGACCCUCUACUGUGCCACUGAGCUCUCAAAUACCCGCCACCUGAUGUGAAGAGCUGAGUCUUUGGAAAAGACCCUGAUUCUGGGAAAGAUUGAAGGCAAGAGGAAAAGGGGGCGACAUAAGAUGAGAUGGUUGGAUGGCGUCAUCAAGUCAGUGGACGUGAGUUUGCGUAAACUCUGGGAGAUGGUGAAGGACAGAGAGGCCUGGCAUGCUGCAGAUCAUGGGUCCACAAAGAGUCAGACAUGAUUUAGCAACUGAACAACUUUGUCAAUAUUUUAUUUCAACUGGAAGUCUUUAGGUGAGUUCCUAUCACCCUUGCUUGAACAAAAACUUUUUAAUGUAAUAAAAAAC